AAGAAGAAGAAGAAGAAGAAGAGUCUCUGGGACCAAAAAGAUGAUCCAAAGAAGAAGCACCGCUCUGCUGCCUCUUGUUUUCCAUGCUAGCUAAUAAUUAAGAUAAUAGUACCACUCUUUCUCUGGAAAAAACCUUAAACUUCUCUCUGUCAACCAACGAACAAAACUGUACUCCUCCUUGAUAGAUAUAACGACCUCCCAAAAGAAGACACCAAAAGGGAACAAAAAAGAGGUAGCAGCAGCAGUAAUGGUUGGAUAAGAUUUGCAGAAGGUAAAGAAAAAGAAAAGAAAAGAAA
rnacentral:misc_RNA from 1 species